rnacentral:rRNA from 1 species
CAGGACGAACGCUGGCGGCGUGCCUAAUACAUGCAAGUCGAACGGUCUUUCUAUGGAAGCUUGCUUCCACUGAGAAGAUAGUGGCGAACGGGUGAGUAACACGUGGGUAACCUGCCCAUAAGAGGGGGAUAACAUCCGGAAACGGGUGCUAAUACCGCAUAGUUUUCUUGAUCGCAUGAUCGGGAAAGGAGAGACGGCCUUUGUGCUGUCGCUUAUGGAUGGACCCGCGGCGUAUUAGUUAGUUGGUGAGGUAACGGCUCACCAAGACGAUGAUACGUAGCCGACCUGAGAGGGUGAUCGGCCACAUUGGGACUGAGACACGGCCCAAACUCCUACGGGAGGCAGCAGUAGGGAAUCUUCCGCAAUGGACGAAAGUCUGACGGAGCAACGCCGCGUGAGUGAAGAAAGGUUUUCGGAUCGUAAAACUCUGUUGUCAGAGAAGAACAAGUUGGAGAGUAACUGCUCCAGCCUUGACGGUAUCUGACCAGAAAGCCACGGCUAACUACGUGCCAGCAGCCGC